rnacentral:rRNA from 1 species
UACGAAGGGGGCUAGCGUUGCUCGGAAUCACUGGGCGUAAAGCGCACGUAGGCGGAUCUUUAAGUCAGGGGUGAAAUCCUGGAGCUCAACUCCAGAACUGCCUUUGAUACUGGGGAUCUCGAGUCCGGAAGAGGUGAGUGGAACUCCGAGUGUAGAGGUGAAAUUCGUAGAUAUUCGGAAGAACACCAGUGGCGAAGGCGGCUCACUGUCCGGUACUGACGCUGAGGUGCGAAAGCGUGGGGAGCAAACAGG